GGGCUUCAGCUCAGUGGUAGAGUGUCUACUUUGCAUGCAGAAGGUCUUGAGUUCAAACUCAGACAUCUCCA